rnacentral:rRNA from 1 species
AGUUUGUACAAACUAAAUUAAAGUCAAACCGCAAAAUGCUCAUUAAAUCAGUCACGGUUUACUAGAACUAAUAUAUCUUUUUUUUUGAUAGAUGGAUAACUGUGGUAAUUCUAGAGCUAAUACAUGCAACACAGUUUUAUACAGUGAUGGAUAAAACGCUUUUAUUAGAACAAAACCAAUCGAUCAACUUGUUUGUUUCGUUUGAAUUUUGGUGAUUCUGAAUAACACCGUAGAUCACACAGUCAUUGUACUGGUGACGUAUCUUUCAAAUGCCUGACUUAUCACACUUUCGAUGGUAGAUUCUAUGUCUACCAUGGUUGUAACGGGUGACGGGGAAUCAGGGUUCGAUUCCGGAGAGGGAGCCUGAGAAACAGCUACCACAUCCAAGGAAGGCAGCAGGCACGCAAAUUACCCACUUCCGGCACGGAGAGGUAGUGACAAAAAAUAACGAUACGGGACUCAUCCGAGGCCCCGUAAUCGGAAUGAGAACACUUUAAAUACUUUAACAAGUAUCAAUUGGAGGGCAAGUCUGGUGCCAGCAGCCGCGGUAAUUCCAGCUCCAAUAGCGUAUAUUAAAGUUGUUGCAGUUAAAAAGCUCGUAGUUGGUUCUGUGUGCCACACUGUUGGUUUACCGCCUGUCGGUGUAACUGACAUGUUGUGGGACGUCCUGCCGGUGGUAAUUGCAGACCUUGAUGGUAUUGUUAAUUGCCUUUAAUUCUCAUUGCGGUGCUCUUUAUUGAGUGUCGAAGUGGGCCGGCACUUUUACCUUGAACAAAUUAGAGUGCUCAAGGCAAGCUAAAUAUUGCUUGAAUAUUAGUGCAUGGAAUAAUGGAACAGGACCUUGGUUCUAUUUUGUUGGUUUUCUGAAUCCAAGGUAAUGAUCAAUAUGGACGGUCGGGGGCAUUCGUAUUGCGGCGUUAGAGGUGAAAUCUUGGAUCGUCGCAAGACGAACUAGAGCGAAAUUUGUGACACACGUCUUAAUUGAUCAAGAACGAAAGUUAGAGGUUCGAAGGCGAUCAGAUACCGCCCUAGUUCUAACCAUAAACGAUGUCAGCCAGCGAUCCGUAGAGUUCUUUGAAUGACUCGACGGGCAGCUUCCGGGAAACCAAAGCUUUUGGG